CACCGCUCGGCCGCUGGUGGAGACCAUAUUUGAGAGGGGAAUGGCCACUUGUUUUGCUUACGGUCAGACGGGCAGCGGGAAAACUCAUACCAUGGGAGGAGAUUUUUCGGGGAAGAACCAGGAUUGCUCCAAAGGGAUCUACGCUCUCGCUGCACGGGAUGUUUUUCUCAUGUUAAAAAAACCAAACU